ensembl:lncRNA
AGAUGUCUAAAUAUUCAUUGUUUACACCUCAUUCUCCACCUCCUCUCUUUCUCUCACUGUAUUUUUAUCCUGUCUCACUCUGUCAGUGUUCAGAAAUGACCCGAGGUGAUGACAUGACGUCUGAUGAGAGCCUGGCCGAGUCCGUCAGCUCGCAGCACUUUAAAGGCUCCAUGCGCACUCUGGACAGUGGGAUUGGGACGUUCCCACUUCCUGACUAUGCCAGCAAUGCUGUCGGAAAACUAAACCCUAAACUCCAAAGCUCGUCUGUUUCUCACAAAGCGGCGAUGAAACCUCGAAAAACACGAACCUUAGAAGGAGGACUAGCAUCUUUAGAUGAAGUGAACACUUCUGUACUCUACACUUCUCCACUAGAGGCCAAGGGAACAAGUGUGCAUCUGUCCAGCACCAUCCACGAAGACAUUGAUGUCUAUGGAGCUCAUUUUCAAGCCCCGCCCACUGCAAACUGGGCAUUUCCCAAACCAAGAGUAUCAGAAGCACAGACGGAACCACCAAGCCAGCAAACUCCAUCAAAGCGGGUGAGAAGAGUGAAAACACACUCAAACACUCCACUGUCUCCAGCUCAAACACUCCACUGUCUCCAGGUCAAACACACAAACACUCAAACACUCCACUGUCUCCAGGUCAAACACACAAACACUCAAACACUCCACUGUCUCCAGGUCAAACACACAAACACUCAAACACUCCACUGUCU